UGCGCCAUUAUAAGACCGUGCAGGAUCACCCUUUCAUUGUAAAGAUGUCCCCCUCUCCGUUUUUGUUUUGUUUUGCUUAAUUGUAAUUGCAGCCCCAGCUCUGCACAUUCUGUCUACUUGCAUUGGCUAGGUCACCAAACCUAGCACUUCAAGUUAUUUUCUUUUUGCAGCGAGGGAGCAAUAGCUUCCCAGCUAAGAACCGCACAUUUUUACUUUUCUGUACAAGGAGGGUUCCAUUCCAAAAAAGGAUAAUCAAGUGACCCGCUCAGAGGUAAUUUUGUUGUAGGAUCCAAGAGAGAAAUGUCCUCGAGCCUAAAUGCACUGCUUGUGAGAAGGUUAGAUAUAUGUUAGAUGUACAUCAACGUCUCAAACCCGCUGCAUGAGAUGAGCUCUGGUCCGACCUGGUGUGUUUUCUGGUUCCCACCCUGAAACAACUUAAAUUUGCAUUAACGGUAACAAAGCUUAAAGAUGACCCCCUCCUGGUUUAAACAAGAAAAAACACAAAAACUUGUUCAUAAUUUUUUCAAAAAUAUUCUCUUUUCAUCAAUCUUAUCGCAACAAUUUUUUACUGCUCUAAAGAUUUAAGUAAAUUGCUCAAAACUAUGCUUUCAAAAUAUAUUGAAAAAAUUUAAAGAUUUCCUGCAUAAAAUUUUUCCCUCCUAAACUUUUUCCCAAUUUAAAUUUUUCCUACUUAAAGUCUUCCUAUUUAAAGUUUUCCUACUCAAAGUUUUAACACUUAAAAUCUUACUUUAAAGUUUAACUAAAAUUUUCCUAUUUAAAGUUUUUCUAGCAAAAGUCUUUCCUAUCCAAAGUUGUACGUAAAGUUUUCCUAUUUAAUGUUUUCAUAUCUCAAGUUUUCUAAGUUAACAUUUUCUUUUUCUACGCUUGUCUAUUAAAGGUUCUCCUAUCUAAAGUUUUCUUAUUAAAAGUUUUCCUAUUUCUUAAGUCUUCCUGUUUAAAGUUAUCCUAUUUAAAGAUUUCCUAUUUAAGGUUUUUUCCUAUCUAAAGUCUUUCCUAUCUAUAAUUUAAAUAAUGUUUUUAAGUUAGACGCACUACCACGAUUCGGUCCUGCUGACCUGGUAUGUUAUCUGGUCCCCACCCCGAACCAACGUAGCGUGACAUUAACGGAGAAUUCUGAGUACCGGAUCGACACGCAGCUGCGAUAUCUAACUCACGAGAACUUCCUCGUCGCCCAAGAAACCUCCCUCGUCGGAGAAUUCUGAGUACCGGAUCGACACGCAGCUGCGAUAUCUAACUCACGAGAACUUCCUCGUCGCCCAAGAGACCUUCCUCGUCGGAACGGGAUAGAAAUACUCCCUUCUGCACCAUCUAUUGCUUUCCGACCUCAAGUCGGUCAUUUAAAAUCACUGUGCAUGAUUAACAUCCCAUGUUAACUCAGUCACAUAUAAAGUCUUGAUCUUGAUUACGUAGGCCGGCAAAUUUUACAAUCCAGAACAGUUUUACCUGAUCCAUUUCUUAAACAGUUUAUAAAUUUUAAACUUAAUUAAAUGAUUUAUCUGAUCUCACACGCACAAUCUUAAACCCAUCGUAGAAUCUUCAUAGCAUCUCUUGAACAACUGUACAGAGCUACUAGCUAUAAAGUUAUAGCUAUUAUAUAUUCCUGUAAAACAAUUGUUUUUUCGUAUAUAGUAACUCUGUUAAUAAUUACAUAUAAAUUUUGUUAACCGAAAUAACCUUACGAAAAUAAAAAAUAUUUAGAUUUAAAAAAAAA